AUCUGUAGACCAAAAUAUAUGGU
rnacentral:snRNA from 1 species